CCAAUUCAGAAAAAUUAAAAAAUCAUUAACACAACAAGAAAAAGCAUAUUUAUAAGGACAUGAAAAACUAAAAGGCUUACAUCCUUUCUGCCAUAAAUUUGCGUGAUUUCACAAAUUCAGAGUCCAUGUUUAUAACACUACGAUGGACACCAGGAUUUUGUAUAUGUCCAGGCAAGGGGUUUCCUUUUUGCUGCAGUAGCCCAAGCAACGCAGUGCCGGCCUUGUUUGGUUCCUGUCGUGAUAUCUGCGCAGAAAGGUGUGUCUGCAAAUUCAUCUUUACUGUAAGCUAAACAAUGUGUUCCUUGUAACAUGAUUUAUAAGGUUCCAUAAUCUAGUUAACAUGAAUCACUUUCCAUGCAUAAUAACAUCCACAUACUAUCUGUCUAAGAAAAUAAGAUGAAAAAACAAUCACUUUGACAAAUGCAUUCUGCAAAUUUUACAAAUAUAAUAGCCUGGGGAGCCCUCUUUCCCGUGGAAGAACAAGGGGCGGAGCCACUUGCAGUCUAGUGGGGGCUGGAUUUUGGUCCUGGGUAUUUCACCUAUUACACUUUAGGGGCAGCCAGUUUUCAAGGCAACGGAAAACAAACAACGGCAUCAAAAAUUGAAGAGAAAUAUGGUUGAAAAAUCACUGUCGCUAGAGAGAUUACCAUCAAGAAAUAAGAAUUCUGGAAAAAUAAAAUAAAUUAUACGGAGUUGAGUUCAGAUUAAAUCAUUCACAACAAACAAAUCGAGACGAUUUCAACAUACAAAGCCCGUUUUAACACUUAUAUAAUCCGAUACUACCUUCCAAGUUUGGCGAUGAAGAAAUUGAGUAGAAAUCACUGCAACACAAGAUCAAUUGGUGCCGAGAGGUGAUGAAUAUGUUACCAAUUUUUAUUGAAAUACCAAGAAAGAAAACCUAGGCCGUUCUUCCCCCUUUGCUAAACAGAUGUCGGGUUGUCCUUUGAUUGGCCGGCUUUCUAAUAUUUU
rnacentral:lncRNA from 1 species